rnacentral:rRNA from 1 species
AUGAAGAUAAAGAGGCGUUUUCUGAACCUUUGCCAGGACAACAGAGAGAUAUGUGCUUUGACAAGCAUGUGUAGACCAGAUAAAGGAAGUAAUUCCUCAAGUAUGCCUGAUUCCAGUUACAAUGUUAAGCAAUAUACAUUCUCGCUCUCCCCGCCAGCCAUCGAUCGUCUCGCCUCGCUCGAGGCCAGCUCUGCAGCUAACGCCAUCGACGAUAGGAGCGAGGCGGUGCUCCAACAGCUAAGGCGGCUACUGAAGGAAAUAUGCCCUGGAGGCAAUAAUAAAGUUAUUAUUUAUUUCCUUAUAUCAUGA